rnacentral:piRNA from 1 species
UCAGAGGAACAGACUUGCAAGUCCAUGGG